rnacentral:siRNA from 1 species
ACCUAGUAGUCAUUUCUUGCCA